rnacentral:tRNA from 1 species
GCAGUGGUGUUUCAGUGGUAGAAUUAUCACCUCCCAUGUGGAAGACCUGGGUUCACUUCCCAGCCAGUGCA